GCCUGAAGAAGUAUUUUAGCCAAGGCGAUUGAAGAUGAAUAAGAGGAUCUCCUUGGUGUUACUUGGCUCCUUAAAUCUAAGGGGUUCCAUUUCUUGGCUUCCCUUAUAUCAUGUUGGUCUUGAAUUGAAGUGAGGGUAGGUUGAGAGCAAUGGAGAAAAGAAAGGGGCCCUAGCAUAGGCCAAGCUCUCCUUGAGGUCCUGGAUCUCGGCAAGCUCCACCAUUGAGGGGGCAGCAUGGGUAGCGAAGACGACGCGACCCUAAAGGAAGAACGCAAGCAAGAAGGCAGAGGAUGAGGACACGUGGGAGGAAAGAAUGCCGAUGGAGUUGGAGAGGAGGGUGGUGCGACAUGU
rnacentral:lncRNA from 1 species